rnacentral:rRNA from 1 species
CCUACGGGGUGCUGCAGUCGAGAAUCAUUCACAAUGGGGGAAACCCUGAUGGUGCGACGCCGCGUGGGGGAAUGAAGGUCUUCGGAUUGUAAACCCCUGUCAUGUGGGAGCAAAUUAAAAAGAUAGUACCACACGAGGAAGAGACGGCUAACUCUGUGCCAGCAGCCGCGGUAAUACAGAGGUCUCAAGCGUUGUUCGGAAUCACUGGGCGUAAAGCGUGCGUAGGCUGUUUCGUAAGUCGUGUGUGAAAGGCGCGGGCUCAACCCGCGGACGGCACAUGAUACUGCGAGACUAGAGUAAUGGAGGGGGAACCGGAAUUCUCGGUGGAGCAGUGAAAUGCGUAGAUAUCGAGAGGAACACUCGUGGCGAAGGCGGGUUCCUGGACAUUAACUGACGCUGAGGCACGAAGGCCAGGGGAGCGAAAGGGAUUAGAUACCCGGGUAGUC